UAUGUUAUUUAUAUUUAACUGUUUUUAUUUAUUUAUUUAUUGGUGUUUUAAAUCUUCUUUAGCAGUAGCUCUUAGUUGACAUGGUUCACAUCAUAAGGCGGUGCUGUGAUAAGCACUCUUACCUGACAGCAACUCGUCCAUCUGGCCGUUUCUGUGUGGAGUUUGUUGUUCUCCUCGUGUUUGCGUGGGUUCUCUCUGGGUACUCUGGCUUCCUCCCACAGCCCAAGGACAUGCUGUUAGUGGGGUUAGGUCAGUUGGUGAAUCUGAAUUGUCCACAGGUGUGAUUGUGAGUGUGAAUGGUUGUCUGUCUCUCUGUGUUAACUCUAUGAUAGACUCGUGACCUGUCCAGGGUGUACCCCCCCCCCUCGCCCUGUGACAACUGGGAUAGGUUUCAGCCCCCCCGUGACCCGGAUAAGUGAAAAGAAUGGAUGGCCCACAUUGUCUCAAACAUAACAUGGGGCGAUGUUUCAAGCUGGUGUAGUGUUUGUCAGCUCUGCUCCGACAGCAGAUUGACUCCUAGUCAGGCAGAUCAAAGCCAGCUAAGUGAUUAGUGUUUGCUUUUAAAUGAUUAUUUCAGAAAGCUGCAAAGCUCCAGUCUGAUUGCAUUUUCUGUCUGCAGGAGAGUUCAACUUAUCUGGGAUUUCUUUGUUUCAGAUGGCUCAAUGAAACCUAAAACCGCAGUCAGACACAACAGGCAUCAAGAUGGUAGUUGUUGACUUCUGGCUUUCUAGCUUCGGGCUGUGAUCGCUCUUUCACACGAAACGACCCAAAAGAGUGCCGCCUACUUCAGUCAGAGAUAUUAGAGUCCAGCGGUCAUGCAUGUGCGUUUGACCACUGCGCUCCUGAGUCACGAAGCGCCCGCCCAGCCCAGUCAGCAUGAUUCAUGAGUGACUCUGCUGAUCUGCGAUCAACAUUAUCUCUGCUCUGUGGGAGAAGCUGUCUCCGAGCCUCUGAUACCGAGGAGGAACGAGGAGUCUGCAAAAACAGCACGACUAACCCAAAUCCUGAGGACAUCAUCCGCUGAAUUAAAACAGAGUUAGACGUGGAAGGAUUUCUUUCUGACAUGUUUUGCAAAGACGUGAUGAAUUAUGAAUAAAAA